UACAGUCAUGAGCCACCACACUCGGCUAAUUUUGUAUUUUUAGUAGAGACAGGGUUUCUCCUUGUUGGUCAGGCUCGUCUCAAACUCCUGACCUCAGGUGAUCCACCCGCCUUGGCCUCCCGAAGUGCUGGGAUUACAGGCGUGAGCCACCAUGCCUGGCUCAUUUUUUUUUCUUUUUUAAGUAGAGAUGGGGUUUUGCCAUGUUGCCAAGGCUGUUCUGGAACUCCUGAGCUCAAACAGUCCUCCCACCUUGGCCCCCCAAAGUGCUGAGAUUACAGGUGUGAGCCACCACACCCGGCCUGGACUACCAAUCUUGAUGGCAACAUUAGACUGGGGGCCACUGUAGUCAUAACAGUGGUGGACCAGGCAGCAGAGUCUUGUCUUCAGUACCAUGGACACCGCAGCAUCCAGUGCUAGCAGGACUCCCACGUCCCUCCCCGGCUAACCUGGAUCCUGCUCAACCCAACACCUGCCUUCUCUCGGUCCCUGGGUUCCCGCAGGCCUUGGGGCCCCACAGUCAUAUCUGCUGUUCCUGCAGCAGAGAGGUUGUACUGGGUUGAGAGAGAGGCCUCAGAAUCAAGACCUUGUCUCCUGCCACAGUUUCCCUGGUGAAGCUCCCAGGCUGAGCACAAACUUCCAGGUCGAGCACAGAAGUUUCGACCUGGAAACUUCAGCCCUCAGAGAGGAGGUGGCACUAACGCUCUAGGUGGGCGGCUGCUCUAUGGUCUUCUGCUGCCUGGAGAGCUUUGCCUCCAUCACUGGUGCCCACCUGGGGAAUGCUCAGGAACUACUCUUCAAAAGUACACUCGGAUGCCCACUCUGCAAAGCCAUUUUGUUUCCUUAUUGUACCUCUGAAAUCAUUUGUUAACCAAGCAUUUGCAAAUCCG
rnacentral:lncRNA from 10 species